rnacentral:rRNA from 1 species
AGGGAAUCUUCCACAAUGGACGCAAGUCUGAUGGAGCAACGCCGCGUGAGUGAAGAAGGUUUUCGGACCGUAAAGCUCUGUUGUUGGUGAAGAAGGAUAGAGGUAGUAACUGGCCUUUAUUUGACGGUAAUCAACCAGAAAGUCACGGCUAACUACGUGCCAGCAGCCGCGGUAAUACGUAGGUGGCAAGCGUUGUCCGGAUUUAUUGGGCGUAAAGCGAGCGCAGGCGGAAGAAUAAGUCUGAUGUGAAAGCCCUCGGCUUAACCGAGGAAUUGCAUCGGAAACUGUUUUCUUGAGUGCAGAAGAGGAGAGUAGAACUCCAUGUGUAGCGGUGGAAUGCGUAGAUAUAUGGAAGAAUACCAGUGGCGAAGGCGGCUCUCUGGUCUGCAACUGACGCUGAGGCUCGAAAAGCAUGGGUAGCGAACAGGAUUAGAUACCCUGGUAGUCCAUGCCGUAAACGAUGAGUGCUAAGUGUUGGGAGGCUUCCGCCUCUCAGUGCUGCAGCUAACGCAUUAAGCACUCCGCCUGGGGGAGUACGACCGCAAGGUUGAAAC